rnacentral:rRNA from 1 species
UACGUAGGGCGCAAGCGUUAUCCGGAAUUAUUGGGCGUAAAGAGCUCGUAGGCGGUUUGUCGCGUCUGCCGUGAAAGUCCGGGGCUCAACUCCGGAUCUGCGGCGGGUACGGGCAGACUAGAGUGAUGUAGGGGAGACUGGAAUUCCUGGUGUAGCAGUGAAAUGCGCAGAUAUCAGGAGGAACACCGAUGGCGAAGGCAGGUCUCUGGGCAUUAACUGACGCUGAGGAGCGAAAGCAUGGGGAGCGAACAGG